UAGGGAAUCUUCGGCAAUGGACGAAAGCCUGACCGAGCAACGCCGCGUGCGGGAAGAAGGCCUUCGGAUCGUAAAACUCUGUUGUUAGAGAAGAACAAGGACGUUAGUAACUGAACGUCCCCUGCCGGUAUCUUACCAGAAAGCCACGGCCAACUACGUGCCAGCAGUCGCGGUAAUACGUAGGUGGCAAGCGUUGUCCGGAUUUAUUGGGCGUAAAGCGAGCGCAGGCGGUUUCUUAAGUCUGAUGUGAAAGACCGCGGCUCAACCGGGGAGGGGCAUUGGAAACUGGGGGACUUGAGUGCAGAAGAGGAGGGUGGAAUUCCAGGUGUAGCGGUGAAAUGCGUAGAUAUAUGGAGGAACACCGGUAGCGAAGGCGGCUCUCUGGGCUGUAACUGACGCUGAGGCACGAAAGCGUGGGGAGCAAACAGG
rnacentral:rRNA from 1 species